UGGGGAAUAUUGCACAAUGGGCGCAAGCCUGAUGCAGCCAUGCCGCGUGUGUGAAGAAGGCCUUCGGGUUGUAAAGCACUUUCAGCGGGGAGGAAGGCGUUAAGGUUAAUAACCUUGGCGAUUGACGUUACCCGCAGAAGAAGCACCGGCUAACUCCGUGCCAGCAGCCGCGGUAAUACGGAGGGUGCAAGCGUUAAUCGGAAUUACUGGGCGUAAGGCGCACGCAGGCGGUCUGUCAAGUCGGAUGUGAAAUCCCCGGGCUCAACCUGGGAACUGCAUUCGAAACUGGCAGGCUAGAGUCUUGUAGAGGGGGGUAGAAUUCCAGGUGUAGCGGUGAAAUGCGUAGAGAUCUGGAGGAAUACCGGUGGCGAAGGCGGCCCCCUGGACAAAGACUGACGCUCAGGUGCGAAAGCGUGGGGAGCAAACAGG
rnacentral:rRNA from 1 species